CGGGCGGUGUGCUUAAUGCAUGCAAGUCGAACGGGAUCCCAUAGAUUCGUCUUUGGGUGAGAGUGGCGGACGGGUGAGUAACGCGUUGGUGACCUGCCUCGGAGAGGGGGACAACCAUUGGAAACGAUGGCUAAUACCCCGGAUGUUAUCAUGUUUAGAAAAUGAUAACUAAAGUUCCGGCGCUCCGAGAGGGGCCAGCGUCCCAUCAGCUUGUUGGUGAGGUAACGGCUCACCAAGGCAUAGACGGGUAGGGGGCGUGAGAGCGUGACCCCCCACACUGGUACUGAAACACGGACCAGAUACCUACGGGUAGCAGCAGCAAGGAAUAUUGCGCAAUGGGCGAAAGCCUGACGCAGCAACACCGCGUGGAGGAUGAAGGCUUUCGGGUUGUAAACUCCUUUUCUGGGGGAAGAGAAAGGACGGUACCCCAGGAAUAAGGCCCGGCUAACUACGUGCCAGCAGCCGCGGUAAA
rnacentral:rRNA from 1 species